ACAGGAGCAGCUUGCUGCUUCGCUGACGAGUGGCGGACGGGUGAGUAAUGUCUGGGAAACUGCCCGAUGGAGGGGGAUAACUACUGGAAACGGUAGCUAAUACCGCAUAAUGUCGCAAGACCAAAGAGGGGGACCUUCGGGCCUCUUGCCAUCGGAUGUGCCCAGAUGGGAUUAGCUUGUUGGUGAGGUAACGGCUCACCAAGGCGACCAUCCCUAGCUGGUCUGAGAGGAUGACCAGCCACACUGGAACUGAAACACGGUCCAGACUCCUACCGGAGGCAGCAGUGGGGAAUAUUGCACAAUGGGCGCAAGCCUGAUGCAGCCAUGCCGCGUGUAUGAAGAAGGCCUUCGGGUUGUAAAGUACUUUCAGCGGGGAGGAAGGGGUUAAGGUUAAUAACCUUAGCCAUUGACGUUACCCGCAGAAGAAGCACCGGCUAACUCCGUGCCAGCAGCCGCGGUAAUACCGAGGGUGCAAGCGUUAAUCGGAAUUACUGGGCGUAAAGCGCACGCAGGCGGUCUGUCAAGUCGGAUGUGAAAUCCCCGGGCUCAACCUGGGAACUGCAU
rnacentral:rRNA from 1 species